rnacentral:rRNA from 1 species
UACGUAGGGUGCAAGCGUUGUCCGGAAUUAUUGGGCGUAAAGAGCUCGUAGGCGGUCUGUCGCGCCUGCUGUGAAAACCCGAGGCUCAACCUCGGGCCUGCAGUGGGUACGGGCAGACUAGAGUGCGGUAGGGGAGAAUGGAAUUCCUGGUGUAGCGGUGGAAUGCGCAGAUAUCAGGAGGAACACCGAUGGCGAAGGCAGUUCUCUGGGCCGUAACUGACGCUGAGGAGCGAAAGCGUGGGGAGCGAACAGG